UAAUACGGGAGGUGCGAGCGUUAAUCGGAAUUACUGGGCGUAAAGCGAGCGUAGGCUGUUAAUUAAGUCGAAUGUGAAAUCCCCGGGCUCAACCUGGGAACUGCAUUCGAAACUAUUUAACUAGAGUAUGGGAGAGGAAGGUAGAAUUUCCGGUGUAGCGGUGAAAUGCGUAGAUAUCGGAAGGAAUACCAGUGGCGAAGGCGGCUUUCUGGAACAAUACUGACGCUGAGGUUCGAAAGCGUGGGGAGCAAACAGGAUUAGAUACCCUGGUAGUCCACGCCGUAAACGAUGAGAACUAGAUGUUGGGAGGAUUGGCCUCUCAGUGUCGCAGCUAACGCAAUAAGUUCUCCGCCUGGGGAGUACGACCGCAAGGUUG
rnacentral:rRNA from 1 species